AACGUAGGUCCCGAGCGUUAUCCGGAUUUACUGGGCGUAAAGCGUGUUCAGGCGGUCUAGCAAGUCGGGCAUGAAAUCUCUCGGCUCAACCGGGAGGGGUUGUCCGAUACUGCUGGGCUUGAGGGCAGCAGAGGGUGGUGGAAUUCCGGGUGUAGUGGUGAAAUGCGUAGAUAUCCGGAGGAACACCAGUGGCGAAGGCGGCUCACUGGCCCGGUACUGACGCUGAGGUGCGAAAGCGUGGGGAGCAAACAGG
rnacentral:rRNA from 1 species